UACGAAGGGUGCAAGCGUUACUCGGAAUUACUGGGCGUAAAGCGUGCGUAGGUGGUUGUUUAAGUCUGUUGUGAAAGCCCUGGGCUCAACCUGGGAAUUGCAGUGGAUACUGGGCGACUAGAGUGUGGUAGAGGGUAGUGGAAUUCCUGGUGUAGCAGUGAAAUGCGUAGAGAUCAGGAGGAACACCCGUGGCGAAGGCGGCCACCUGGGCCGACCCUGACGCUGAGGCGCGAAGGCGUGGGGAGCGAACAGG
rnacentral:rRNA from 1 species